GACGAACGCUGGCGGCGUGCUUAACACAUGCAAGUCGUACGGUAAGGCCCUUCCGGUGGUACAUGAGUGAGGGACGGGUGAGUAACACGUGAGUAACUUGCCCACCACUUUGGUAGAACUAAAGGAAACUGACUCGGAUUCUUGACAGGUACUCCUGCUGCCUGCUGGGGGGGGGUAAGCUCGGGUGGUUGUGGGUGGAUUCGCGGGCUGUUUGUUUGUUUGUGGGGUAGUGGCCUACCUACGAGGCGUCGGGUGGCCGGCCGGGGAGGGUGGACGGCCAACAUGGGACUGGGAUACCGGCCAGACUCCUACGGGAGGCAGCAGUUGGGAAUAUUUCACAAUGGGCGCAAGGCUGAUGCAGCAAAGGCGGGUGGGGGGUGACGGGCUUCGGGUUGUAAACCGGUUUCAGCAUGUGCGAAGCUUUUUGUGACGGUACCUGCAGAAGAAGCACCGGCUAACUACGUG
rnacentral:rRNA from 1 species